UACGAAGGGGGCUAGCGUUGCUCGGAAUCACUGGGCGUAAAGCGCGCGUAGGCGGACCUGCAAGUCGGGGGUGAAAGCCCGAGGCUCAACCUCGGAACUGCCUUCGAUACUGCGGGUCUCGAGUCCGGGAGAGGUGAGUGGAAUUCCUAGUGUAGAGGUGAAAUUCGUAGAUAUUGGGAGGAACACCAGUGGCGAAGGCGGCUCACUGGACCGGUACUGACGCUGAGGUGCGAAAGCGUGGGGAGCAAACAGGG
rnacentral:rRNA from 1 species